rnacentral:pre_miRNA from 1 species
AGGGGGAGGCCGGAUCCUGGGCUGUGUCCCCGGCGCCCUGUGCUCCGGGGCUUGCGGGGCCUGCGCUGUUGGAUUCGCGCUCCCCACCGGGAAGCCCUCU